rnacentral:rRNA from 1 species
CAGUCGCCACGGUAAUACGGAGGGUGCAAGCGUUAAUCGGAAUUACUGGGCGUAAAGCGUGCGUAGGUGGUGGUUUAAGUCCGUUGUGAAAGCCCUGGGCUCAACCUGGGAAUUGCAGUGGAUACUGGGUCACUAGAGUGUGGUAGAGGAUAGUGGAAUUUCCGGUGUAGCAGUGAAAUGCGUAGAGAUCGGAAGGAACAUCUGUGGCGAAGGCGACUAUCUGGGCCAACACUGACACUGAGGCACGAAAGCGUGGGGAGCAAACAGGAUUAGAUACCCCCGUAGUCCCUGUCUCUUAUAC